rnacentral:rRNA from 1 species
GACGAACGCUGGCGGCGUGCUUAACACAUGCAAGUCGAACGGAAAGGCCCUGCUUUUGUGGGGUGCUCGAGUGGCGAACGGGUGAGUAACACGUGAGUAACCUGCCCUUGACUUUGGGAUAACUUCAGGAAACUGGGGCUAAUAUCGGAUAGGAGCUCCUGCUGCAUGGUGGGGGUUGGAAAGUUUCGGCGGUUGGGGAUGGACGCGCGGCUUAUCAGCUUGUUGGUGGGGUAGUGGCUUACCAAGGCUUUGACGGGUAGCCGGCCUGAGAGGGUGAACGGCCACAUUGGGACUGAGGUACGGCCCAGACUCCUACGGUAGGCAGCAGUGGGAAAUAUUGCACAAUGGGCGGAAGCCUGAUGCAGCAACGCCGCGUGCGGGAUGACGGCCUUCGGGUUGUAAACCGCUUUCGCCUGUGACGAAGCGUGAGUGACGGUAAUGAGUAAAGAAGCACCGGCUAACUACGUG